GACGGAGGAUGCAAGCGUUAUCCGGAAUUAUUGGGCGUAAAGCGUGCGCAGGCGGAUUGUUAAGCAAGAUGUGAAAUCCCCGGGCUUAACCUGGGAAUGGCAUUUUGAACUGGCAAUCUAGAGUGUGUCAGAGGGGGGUAGAAUUCCACGUGUAGCAGUGAAAUGCGUAGAGAUGUGGAGGAAUACCGAUGGCGAAGGCAGCCCCCUGGGAUAACACUGACGCUCAUGUACCAAAGCGUGGGUAUCAAACAGG
rnacentral:rRNA from 1 species